GUAUCCUCUAGAGUUCCCUUGAACACUUCAAUGGAGACACAUAAACACCCUAUCCAAGGGUAACUUUUCUCUACUGAAGCGUUUGGGGGAACUCUUGCUGAUAC
rfam:Beta vulgaris subsp. vulgaris Bvchr6.sca028.con0171.1, whole genome shotgun sequence.